rnacentral:rRNA from 1 species
UGGGGAAUAUUGGGCAAUGGGCGAAAGCCUGACCCAGCAACGCCGCGUGAAGGAAGAAGGCCUUCGGGUUGUAAACUUCUUUGACGAGGGACGAAAAAAAUGACGGUACCUCGAAAACAAGCCACGGCUAACUACGUGCCAGCAGCCGCGGUAAUACGUAGGUGGCAAGCGUUGUCCGGAAUUACUGGGCGUAAAGGGUGCGUAGGUGGUUUCUUAAGUCAGAGGUGAAAGGCUACGGCUCAACCGUAGUAAGCCUUUGAAACUGGGAAACUUGAGUGCAGGAGAGGAGAGUGGAAUUCCUAGUGUAGCGGUGAAAUGCGUAGAUAUUAGGAGGAACACCAGUUGCGAAGGCGGCUCUCUGGACUGUAACUGACACUGAGGCACGAAAGCGUGGGGAGCAAACA